rnacentral:rRNA from 1 species
UGGGGAAUAUUGCGCAAUGGGCGAAAGCCUGACGCAGCGACGCCGCGUGAGGGAUGAAGGUUUUCGGAUCGUAAACCCCUGUCAGAAGGGAAGAAACCGCACUGUGCUAAUCAGCAGUGCCUUGACGGUACCUUCAAAGGAAGCACCGGCUAACUCCGUGCCCGCAGCCGCGGUAAUACGGAGGGUGCAAGCGUUAAUCGGAAUUACUGGGCGUAAAGCGCACGUAGGCUGCUUUGUAAGUCAGGGGUGAAAUCCCACGGCUCAACCGUGGAACUGCCUUUGAUACUGCUUAGCUUGAAUCCGGGAGAGGGUGGCGGAAUUCCAGGUGUAGGGGUGAAAUCCGUAGAUAUCUGGAGGAACAUCAGUGGCGAAGGCGGCCACCUGGACCGGUAUUGACGCUGAGGUGCGAAAGCGUGGGGAGCAAACAGG